UAGGGAAUCUUCGGCAAUGGGGGGAACCCUGACCGAGCAACGCCGCGUGAGUGAAGAAGGUUUUCGGUUCGUAAAGCUCUGUUGUUAAGGAAGAACGAGUGUGAGAAUGGAAAGUUCAUACUGUGACGGUACUUAACCAGAAAGGGACGGCUAACUACGUGCCAGCAGCCGCGGUAAUACGUAGGUCCCGAGCGUUGUCCGGAAUUAUUGGGCGUAAAGCGCGCGUAGGCGGUUUUUUAAGUCUGAUGUGAAAGCCCACGGCUCAACCGUGGAGGGUCAUUGGAAGCUGUAAAGCUUGAGUGCAGAAGAGGAAAGUGGAAUUCCAUGUGUAGCGGUGAAAUGCGCAGAGAUAUGGAGGAACACCAGUGGCGAAGGCGACUUUCUGGUCUGUAACUGACGCUGAUGUGCGAAAGCGUGGGGAUCAAACAGG
rnacentral:rRNA from 1 species